CAGUCGCCGCGGGAAUACGAAGGGUGCAAGCGUUACUCGGAAUUACUGGGCGUAAAGCGUGCGUAGGUGGUGGUUUAAGUCCGUUGUGAAAGCCCUGGGCUCAACCUGGGAAUUGCAGAGGAUACUGGGUCACUAGAGUGUGGUAGAGGAUAGUGGAAUUUCCGGUGUAGCAGUGAAAUGCGUAGAGAUCGGAAGGAACAUCUGUGGCGAAGGCGACUAUCUGGGCCAACACUGACACUGAGGCACGAAAGCGUGGGGGGCAAACAGGAUUAGAUACCCGAGUAGUCCCUGUCUCUUAUAC
rnacentral:rRNA from 1 species